rnacentral:rRNA from 1 species
ACAGGGGGUGCAAGCGUUGUUCGGAAUCACUGGGCGUAAAGGGAGCGUAGGCGGAUCUACAAGACAGAGGUUAAAUGUUCGGGCUCAACCUGAAACCUGCCUUUGUGACUGUGGAUCUUGAGUAUGGCAGAGGCUAGUGGAAUUACCUGUGUAGCGGUGGAAUGCGUAGAUAUAGGUAAGAACACCAGAGGCGAAGGCGACUAGCUGGGCCAAUACUGACGCUGAGGCUCGAAAGUGUGGGGAGCAAACAGGAUUAGAUACCCUGGUAGUCCACACCGUAAACGAUGAACACUAGAUGCUGGGGAGUUUGUUCUUCGGUGUCGCCGCUAACGCAAUAAGUGUUCCGCCUGGGGAGUACGCUCGCAAGGGUG